rnacentral:snoRNA from 1 species
AUGCCCAGUGAUUAUAAAAAGACGCGUUAUUCUGAGGAACAAAACCUGCUAUUAGUCUUUCCUCUGCUCUUUGCUCUGUCUACCAUUUCUCCUCUUCUAUCCCUCCUCCUCUUUUCUCCAAACUGGUAGCAGGUCCGCUGACUGCGAUUAUGAGAUAUGAGGGUAC